rnacentral:rRNA from 1 species
ACGGCUCAGUAACACGUCGGUAACCUACCCUCGGGAGGGGGAUAACCCCGGGAAACUGGGGCUAAUUCCCCAUAGGCCUGAGGUACUGGAAGGACCUCAGGCCGAAAGGGACUUAUGUCCGCCCGAGGAUGGGCCGGCGGCCGAUUAGGUAGUUGGUGGGGUAAUGGCCCACCAAGCCGAAGAUCGGUACGGGCUGUGAGAGCAGGAGCCCGGAGAUGGACACUGAGACACGGGUCCAGGCCCUACGGGGCGCAGCAGGCGCGAAACCUCCGCAAUGCGGGAAACCGCGACGGGGGGACCCCGAGUGCCGUGGCAACGCCACGGCUUUUCCGGAGUGUAAAAAGCUCCGGGAAUAAGGGCUGGGCAAGGCCGGUGGCAGCCGCCGCGGUAAUACCGGCGGCCCGAGUGGUGGCCGCUAUUAUUGGGCCUAAAGCGUCCGUAGCCGGGCCCGUAAGUCCCUGGCGAAAUCCCACGGCUCAACCGUGGGGCUUGCUGGGGAUACUGCGGGUCUUGGGACCGGGAGAGGCGGGGGGUACCCCUGGGGUAGGGGUGAAAUCCUAUAAUCCCAGGGGGACCGCCAGUGGCGAAGGCGCCCCGCUGGAACGGGUCCGACGGUGAGGGACGAAGGCCAGGGGAGCAAACCGGAUUAGAUACCCGGGUAGUCCUGGCUGUAAAGGAUGCGGGCUAGGUGUCGGGUGAGCCUCGAGCUCGCCCGGUGCCGUAGGGAAGCCGUUAAGCCCGCCGCCUGGGGAGUACGGCCGCAAGGCUGAAACUUAAAGGAAUUGGCGGGGGAG